UGGCACUGGUGAGAAAAAACAAAACAAAAUAGAAUUUGGGGAGAGUGGUUUCAGUGAGAGACCGGAGUUCCAAAGGCUAUAGCUAAAGCUCAAUAUCAGCAGAAAACUUAUCAAUCUCUAAUCGCUUCUUCUUUCUUCAUUGAUUUUAGCAAUGUUCAUCUAUAUCUUUACUAAACUUCAGAAGAUCGUCGGCGAUCUCCAUCCCCAUCAAGUUCUUCACGGAGUAGAUCUUUCUUCUGCGAUCGGAGUGACUUAUGUUAUGCCUGUAAAUUUAAUCGGCGGUUUCAAAACCGUCAUUGGUCGACUGAUCUGCACUGCGAAGACCCGAGCUGGUUUAAGUCAACGGGCUUUGAACCCGACAAGCUUUCAAAUGGGUUAUUGGGGCUCGCUUGAUCGGACCCAAACGUACUUCCGGUGCCGGAUGUCCUGCCCCAGUUUUCGAUCAGAAACGCCAAACAAGUCAGCUCAGAGAUGCGUAUGUGAGUUAAGAUCUCUGGCUUUGCUUUGACAAAAGGCAUCACUACAGAGACGUUGGCAUGGACUGAUAGAUAAAAGACCACUGGUAAAAGUAUUUGCAUCUGCAAAAGAUAGUGCCGCCGUCUCUGUCUCAGGGCAGAUUAGUGUUUCAGCGUUUAUGUGAUUUUAGAAUCAAAUCAAGCCGAGGCGCUUAUGGGUUCAAUCAGACAAUGAAUCACCAUGCGGCCUCUGUUAAUCAGUUGGUUCAUCCUUGAUUUUGUAGUUAUCCAAAAGCACAAACUGAAGCAAUUAAAAGUGGGAACUAUCAGAAGAAGACUGAAAAAUGUAGAAUUCAAGUAUGGUGAAAAAACCCACUGAAAAAUAAAGCGAUUAAUUCAAUAUAUUGUCAAAUCCAACUCGCCCAUGCUCAUUAAAGAGAGCUACAAAGGACAAGGAAAAGCCUUGGAAUAUAUAUUUACAUGACAGAAAAGGAUCCUUACGGUUAUGGGUAUUUGUCAUUGUGUUGUUGUUGGAUUUUCAGGCACCACCAGAGAAGCAUAGAGAAGCCACAAACUUGACUAAGAGAUCAGAAAUCAUUCGCUUCACAGAUUUCCUCGGUGGGGGGGGGAUCACACUUGCCUGCCGAAUCCUUGCCGCCAUUCCAGAUCCGUUGGGCCCAACCGUUGCUGCAACCGGGUUCACCCUCACCGCCAUCGACUGCCACUUCCUUGGGGUAGAGUGUCUCCACAACUAUGAUAUCCACUCCUCAAAAUGUGUUUUGCUUUAAAGCUUUUCUUAAUUGUUUUGAAUUGCUUUAAAGCUUUUCUUAUAUAUAUAGAGCAGUGCGAAAAUACGCGAAAUUUGAAUUUAUUUUAAUUGUUUUGAGAAAUUUCCUCCAAUGAGAUUAUGAGAGGAAAGCUUGGUAGCCACGUUUUUAAACAUUUACUGUAAGACCGGCCAAUAUCCAAGUGGCCUUUGUCUGUGUAAGGAUGGCGUACCCUCUAUAAUCCCUCUAACUUGUCAGGGUUUCAACAAGUUUGGGCUGUACUGAAACAUUACCGAAUUCCUCUUCUGGGUAGGGCAUAUAUUUCGCAGAGAAUUGCAAAUUACCCAAUCAUAUUCCUCUCCAUCAUUCAAGUUAUAUUUUGUUUCUUCCCUGAUUGUCCCGGUAGGGUCUUUAUGGGCACAAGUACAUCUGCACCCUGAAGUAGCAUUAACUAUGUCUAAUGGCCAUUUGCGCGUCCAUCUGUAAGGACAGAUCUUAAGUUGUCUAAUUAUUUUCAGUACUUAUUCAUAUUCCCAAAUUGACCUAUGUGUCACUUUAUUUCA